rnacentral:rRNA from 1 species
CGGUCCGGCCGGGAACUCAAAGGAGACUGCCAGUGAUAAACUGGAGGAAGGUGGGGAUGACGUCAAGUCAUCAUGGCCCUUACGACCAGGGCUACACACGUGCUACAAUGGCGCAUACAAAGAGAAGCGACCUCGCGAGAGCAAGCGGACCUCAUAAAGUGCGUCGUAGUCCGGAUUGGAGUCUGCAACUCGACUCCAUGAAGUCGGAAUCGCUAGUAAUCGUGGAUCAGAAUGCCACGGUGAAUACGUUCCCGGGCCUUGUACACACCGCCCGUCACACCAUGGGAGUGGGUUGCAAAAGAAGUAGGUAGCUUAACCUCCGGGAGGGCGCUUACCACUUUGUGAUUCAUGACUGGGGUGAAGUCGUAACAAGGUAACCGUAGGGGAACCUGCGGUUGGAUCACCUCCUUACCUGAAAGAA